AGUUCAUAUGCAAGCUUUUUAUCUUAUUUAAAUCUUAAAAGUGCAAGAGUUGCAGGGAUGAAUAAAUGAUAUGAGUAAACUGUGUGUGGGGUGUAAGAUAGAGAGGCCUCUUCUCGGGGGUUGUCAGUAAACAAGUUUAAACCAGACCAGAAGUGAAAAACUGUCAGCCUAGAAAUUGAGUUUGUGGUAAACAGAAAGCGAGGCUUUUUUUUUUAGAAGGAAAUGAGAACAGGACACUGAAAAAAAACUUUUGUGAAAACUUAAAAUGCAGUCAUAAACAGCGGAGUCUUAUCAGGCUGCCUGCAAAGACAUAACAAUGCACAGAACAGCAAAAUCCAGCAGGUGACCCAGACAAUGUUGACCAAAAACAAAGAGAAACAUCUGAACAGGACGCUGUGUAUGUAUGAGGACAGGUUUCCGUACUUGCAGUAUUCCACUAUGACCAUAAGUGGCCCUGAGGAUGAUGAUGAUGAUGAUGAUGAUGAUGAUGAUGAUGAUGAACAUUACGAUUUAUUUCGAUUACAAAGUUGUCCACAUCUAACACAUGAGGCAGAAGAAGAACACACCUCCUGGUCUUGUGCAGGCUCCCAGGAGAUUCACUACAUUCAGGUGAUGUCCAAUAUGGUUGAGGAUUUUCAGCUCGGUCAUUAGCGCCUUGUGCUCACUUGGUGUGGCGCCCUCUGUUGGAGCAGCAAAGAAUUUCAUGUCUCAUGACCUUCAUCAGGUCUUCAGUAAUAUGUUAUUCACAAAGUGUCUGAAACCUUUGAGCAUCUUCACAGCCACUGUGGUGCAGCCGUUUGAGUUUGCGAUGCCAAAGGCAGACGCCUGCAUCACUUUGCCAAAUGCUCCUCGUCCAAGUGGCUUUUCUGUUGGAAGAGAAAGUGUGUAUCAUCAUCAAACUCAUCACAUACUAAACCUGACCACAGACACAAGCACGUACCGAGCUGAAGA